rnacentral:rRNA from 1 species
GAUGAACGCUGGCGGCGUGCCUAAUACAUGCAAGUCGAGCGAACAGACGAGGAGCUUGCUCCUCUGACGGUAGCGGCUGACGGGUGAGUAACACGUGGAUAACCUACCUAUAAGACUGGGAUAACUUCGGGAAACCGGAGCUAAUACCGGAUAAUAUAUUGAACCGCAGGGUUCAAUAGUGAAAGACGGUUUUGCUGUCACUUAGAGAUGGAUCCGCGCCGCAUUAGCUAGUUGGUAAGGUAACGGCUUACCAAGGCGACGAUGCGUAGCCGACCUGAGAGGGUGAUCGGCCACACUGGAACUGAGACACGGUCCAGACUCCUACGGGAGGCAGCAGUAGGGAAUCUUCCGCAAUGGGCGAAAGCCUGACGGAGCAACGCCGCGUGAGUGAUGAAGGUCUUCGGAUCGUAAAACUCUGUUAUUAGGGAAGAACAAAUGUGUAAGUAACUAUGCACGUCUUGACGGUACCUAAUCAGAAAGCAACGGCUAACUACGUG